GUAGGGAAUAUUGCGCAAUGGGGGAAACCCUGACGCAGCGACGCCGCGUGAGCGAUGAAGGCCUUCGGGUCGUAAAGCUCUGUCGUAUGGGAAUAAAAAAAUGAAUGUACCAUACAAGAAAGGAUCGGCUAACUUCGUGCCAGCAGCCGCGGUAAGACGAGGGAUCCUAGCGUUGUUCGGAAUCAUUGGGCGUAAAGAGGGCGUAGGUGGCUAUUUAAGUCAGUUGUGAAAGCCUGAGGCUUAACCUCAGAAGUGCAAUUGAUACUAUUUAGCUUGAGUGUGGAAAAGGUAACUAGAAUUCCUGGUGUAGUGGUGAAAUACGUAGAUAUCAGGAGGAAUGCCGGUUGCGAAGGCGGGUUACUAGUCCAACACUGACACUGAGGCCCGAAAGCGUGGGGAUCAAACAGGAUUAGAAACCCGAGUAGUCC
rnacentral:rRNA from 1 species